UACGUAGGGUGCGAGCGUUAAUCGGAAUUACUGGGCGUAAAGCGUGCGCAGGCGGUUCUCCACGUCCGCUGUGAAAGCCCCGGGCUCAACCUGGGAAUGGCAGUGGAAACUAGGGGACUGGAAUCUGGCAGAGGGGGGUGGAAUGCCGCGUGUAGCAGUGAAAUGCGUAGAGAUGCGGCGGAACACCGAUGGCGAAGGCAGCCCCCUGGGCUGAGAUUGACGCUCAGGCACGAAAGCGUGGGGAGCAAACAGG
rnacentral:rRNA from 1 species